rnacentral:rRNA from 1 species
UACGUAGGCAGCAAGCGUUGUUCGGAGUUACUGGGCGUAAAGAGUAUGUAGGCGGUUGCGUAAGUUCGGUGUGAAAUCUCCCGGCUUAACUGGGAGGGCGCGCCGAAAACUGCGUGGCUUGAGUGCGGGAGAGGAGAGCGGAAUUCCUGGUGUAGCGGUGAAAUGCGUAGAUAUCAGGAGGAACACCGGCGGUGUAGACGGCUCUCUGGACCGUAACUGACGCUGAGAUACGAAAGCGUGGGUAGCAAACAGG